rnacentral:rRNA from 1 species
AGGACGAACGCUGGCGGCGUGCUUAACACAUGCAAGUCGAACGAUGAUCAGGAGCUUGCUCCUGGGAUUAGUGGCGAACGGGUGAGUAACACGUGAGUAACCUGCCCCUGACUCUGGGAUAAGCGUUGGAAACGACGUCUAAUACUGGAUAUGACGGCCGAUCGCAUGGUCUGGUCGUGGAAAGAUUUUUUGGUUGGGGAUGGACUCGCGGCCUAUCAGCUUGUUGGUGAGGUAAUGGCUCACCAAGGCGACGACGGGUAGCCGGCCUGAGAGGGUGACCGGCCACACUGGGACUGAGACACGGCCCAGACUCCUACGGGAGGCAGCAGUGGGGAAUAUUGCACAAUGGGCGAAAGCCUGAUGCAGCAACGCCGCGUGAGGGAUGACGGCCUUCGGGUUGUAAACCUCUUUUAGUAGGGAAGAAGCGAAAGUGACGGUACCUGCAGAAAAAGCACCGGCUAACUACGUGCCAGCAGCCGCGGUAAUACGUAGGGUGCAAGCGUUGUCCGGAAUUAUUGGGCGUAAAGAGCUCGUAGGCGGUUUGUCGCGUCUGCUGUGAAAUCCCGAGGCUCAACCUCGGGCUUGCAGUGGGUACGGGCAGACUAGAGUGCGGUAGGGGAGAUUGGAAUUCCUGGUGUAGCGGUGGAAUGCGCAGAUAUCAGGAGGAACACCGAUGGCGAAGGCAGAUCUCUGGGCCGUAACUGACGCUGAGGAGCGAAAGCGUGGGGAGCGAACAGGAUUAGAUACCCUGGUAGUCCACGCCG